rnacentral:rRNA from 1 species
GCGUGAGUGAUGAAGGCCUUAGGGUUGUAAAGCUCUUUUACCGGGGACGAUGAUGACGGUACCCGGAGAAUAAGCCCCGGCUAACUUCGUGCCAGCAGCCGCGGUAAUACGAAGGGGGCGAGCGUUGUUCGGAGUUACUGGGCGUAAAGGGCGCGUAGGCGGCGCUCCAAGUUAGGCGUGAAAGCCCCGGGCUCAACCUGGGAAUAGCGCUUAAGACUGGAGUGCUUGAGUGCGGGAGAGGUGAGUGGAAUUCCCAGUGUAGAGGUGAAAUUCGU